UACGUAGGGGGCGAGCGUUGUCCGGAUUUACUGGGCGUAAAGCGCACGCAGGCGGUCUGCUAAGUUUGGAGUGACAGUUGGUGGCUUAACUGCCAAAGUGCUUCGAAAACUGACAGACUUGAGGGCUUCAGAGGGACACGGAAUUCCCGGUGUAGCGGUGAAAUGCGUAGAGAUCGGGAGGAACAUCAGUGGCGAAGGCGGCCAUCUGGGACAACACUGACGCUGAAGCACGAAAGCGUGGGGAGCAGACAGG
rnacentral:rRNA from 1 species